UUGAGAGUUCGGUUUGGUAUCCAUCCCCUAUCCCCACAAUUUUUUUAGGGAAGAGAGUUGAAAGGAUGGGGGGAACAAAGAAAAGAGACUCUGUAACAGAUAUGAAAUAACUGUUGUGCAAAAGAAACUAGAUACAAAUGCUGUAAUGGACUCUGGGUCCCCUAGAAUGCAAUUCAGUAUUUUUAAUGCACAGACAUAUACAGAAAACAAGUAUAUGAACACAUAAAAUGGCAAAAUAAGGCCCCUGUUUGAUAUGACAAAGUAAUACUUCUGCUCUGGGUUUUUAAGUUAGUUAGUUAGUCACUUGUCAUGUAUGAUAAUAGAUGGGUGUCUAUUUCAUUGAUAUUUUGCCCAACUAUGAUCAGUUUCCCAUCCUCUCUAGGAGCUCUGGUAUCAUUAUAUUUGAGAGUCAUGGGAGAGGAAGUGUUUUCAAAGUGAGAGGUAAAUGGAUAUCCUGUUUACAUUAGGAGAUCCAUUCAUAUGGCCUCUGCUGCCUAUUGCCUCCUCUCAGGAUAUGUUCACUGAGACUGUCACAGCAGGUGGAGCAACCCUCGCUGACCUCACAGACAAGACAAACGUUGCAUCAGAGCAGCUGUAACAUUAAUCAGUGUCAAGUUGGCAUAUUGAUGCUAGAAAGCACACACCCAGACACGUGCAAACCUCCCUACUUCUAUUCCAUGUCCCUUUACUAAACUUUAUUUGUAGUUUUUAACUUUUAUCUUGAUACUAUUCGUGAUAUCCUUAUUGAAACACAUUGAACAUCUGUCGAAUCAGCACGUUUGAGCUUACAAAUUUUGAAAAAAUGUGUCCUUGCUCUUUAGACUUCUGUUGACAUCGCUGUGGUUAAUUUACACGGUAAUGGCAGACUCAUCAUACACACAAAAAAAUCAUUAACACAAUAAAAGCCAGUGUAGUGUUUGACUUGGCCACAUCUGUCCAAUUGAACAGAGAUUUACAGCACAGCAGACGGCGUUGGGUAUCAUUUCUCCAGCGCAGCCGUGUUUAUGUAGGCCGAGUUUAAAUAUUUGAGGAGCACAUGUGGGGAUGAAUAGUGGCACAGGAUUUCAUCAUAAAGCUGUGAAGGGCAAACCCUGCGGGGGGUCAUUGUAACAGUAGUGUCAACAUCGUCAGAUCCCCACCUCUGUCGACUCAGCAAACAGUGUCACAGACGCUCUGAAAAGGUAGCGACGGCUGCUUUCUGGAAAGCCCUGGGGGGGUUCUUAGAAGACCUUUUGAAGGUGCCAGCAGGCUGUGAACAUCUUCUCUUGUUAGUCCUGAGUAGUGUGUCUAAAGUAGCUUUGAAAAAAGGACACAGAGAGAUAUAAGAGAGUACAGUCAGGGAAGUGAUGCAAUAAAGAAACCCACUGAACAACAGUGACAAAGAGUAAAACAGCUGCUGCUCUUUUCUCCGAGGUAGUUCAUCUUGUCAUGUCAUUCCUGCCUCUAAAGUGUCAUUAUAUAACUCGAGGAACAAAAGAUGCUCAUUAUUGUUUCCAACAGCUUUUCCAUUUGUUUUUAACCAAUAAGAAGGCAGUAACUAUUCCUUUGUUCCACAGAUUUUAUCGAGGAUUUUUGACCAUAGACUGCAUGUCCACUUUCCUGAUAUGUUAUUGUUUACCAGCUUGCUAGUAUUAGUCAUAUUUCCACUACAAUUUUUGGAUUCACUACGAUUUAACUGCAUUAUGUGUUAUUUUUGUUGCUGUUUGUAUGUCUGCAUGUUUUCCUCUCUUUCUUUUACUCUGUCCGAACUUGUUAGCCUCAUUUGCUUGUGACAGAUGGCUGUGGACCAAAGAGUCUGGCUUUAAUAAGGGUUUCUGUCUGUUAAAAGGACCUGGCUGUUUGUCAUUGUCAAAACCUCUCUCCCCUUUUGACAUAUCCUUUAUUUCCACUGUCUUUCUCCAUCUUCUUGUGGCAGAUGACUGUGGACCAGUUUGUCUGGCUUCACUCAUGGUCUCUACCUGUUGAAUGGAAUUGUCUGUCUCUCAUUUUACUAUAUCCUUCAUUACCACUGCCUUGCCUCAUUUUCUUGUGACGGAUGACCAUGGACCAAUGAGUCUGGCUUUACCUGGGAUUUCUGCCUGUUGAAAGGACUUGUUCAUUACGCCUGUUGGUCUGUUGUCUACGUCUUGACCUCUCUCUUUUUGACUAUACACUAUCUUGCCUCAUCUCCUUGUGGCAGAUGAACACGGACCAGUUUGUCUGGCUUCACUCACGGUUUCUACCUGUUGAAUGGAAUUGACUGUCUUUCUUUUCAUUAUAUCCUUCAUUACCACUGCCUUGCCUCAUCUUCUUGUGACGGAUGGCCAUGGACCAAUGAGUCUGGCUUUACUUGGGAUUUCUGCCUGUUGAAAGGAAUUGUUCAUUACGCCUUUUGGUCUGUUGUCUACGUCUUGACCUCUCUCUUUUUAACUAUAUUCCUCAUUCCCACUAUCUUGCCUCAUCUUCUUGUGGCAGAUGACCGUGGACCAAUAAUUUUGGCUUUCCUCAGGGUUUCUGCCUCUUGGAAGGAAUUGUCUUUGUGUUUGACUUUCUGUCUGUUUUUUUGACAUAUCCUUCAUUCCCACCUGUCUUGAUCCAUUGUUUUGUGGCAGGUGGGCGUGGACUACUAAGUUUGAAUUAGUUCUCUCGGUCACUUCUGAAUGAAAUUUGGGAUCUUCUUGCCAAAAUUGCAAACUUUAUCUUUACGUAUAACUUUCCAGAACCUGCUAUUUACGUCAAGUUAUAUGUGAAAAUCUGUGGUUUGAAACUCUUUAAGUACAAGUUGAUGAAAUAAAGAGUUUUUCUUAGAUUACAGUCCUUUUCUGACAGUAAGAACUCAAAUCUUGCAUCUCAGUGUACCUUUGCAUCACAGCUCAUUUCAAGAAGUGUCUGUGGAAGUUUCCAUGCUCCCACUCUCACACUCUCCAGAGCAAGAGCCACAUCAAGCAUGCUUGGCUGUGAGCUAGUGGUGCGUGGGUUUUUGUUUACCCAGCCUGCCUGUCUGUGGUCGUCCACCACAGCUCACACAUCAUCACCCUACUGUCCACCUGACUCAGUAACUUUAGAGAAGAGGGCCAGAGUCCCUGCUCUGAAAUCAUGAUCAGAGCUAUCAUAACAAAGAAAAUUACUCCUUUCCUUCCUUGCUUGUAACAGUUAUUUCAGUAAUACAUUUUUCCUCUCACUUGCUUGCGUCACCUGUCAUGUUUCCAUCCAUCACUCCCAGCCAUCCAUUCUACAUUGUACCACAACCUUGUCUUGUUCUCCCUCCUUGCUUACUGUUUGUGUGUCUGUGGGGAUGCAAGU